UGGGGAAUCUUCCGCAAUGGACGAAAGUCUGACGGAGCAACGCCGCGUGAGUGAAGAAGGUUUUCGGAUCGUAAAGCUCUUUCGUUAGGGACGAACGUGCUCUUUGUGAAUAAUGAGGAGUAAUGACGGUACCUAAAUAAGAAGCCACGGCUAACUACGUGCCAGCAGCCGCGGUAAUACGUAGGUGGCAAGCGUUGUCCGGAAUUAUUGGGCGUAAAGCGCGCGCAGGCGGGAUAUCAAGUCUGUCUUAAAAGUGCGAGGCUCAACCUCGUGAGGGGACAGAAACUGGUAUUCUUGAGUGUCGGAGAGGAAAGUGGAAUUCCAAGUGUAGCGGUGAAAUGCGUAGAGAUUUGGAAGAACACCAGUGGCGAAGGCGACUUUCUGGACGAUGUCUGACGCUGAGGCGCGAAAGCUAGGGGAGCGAACGG
rnacentral:rRNA from 2 species